rnacentral:lncRNA from 1 species
UCAAGAGAAGCAACAAGGAAGUUCAGGGACCAAAAUGUAAGGACUACAUAGUUGGUUAUAUCUAUGCGACCGCAUAGUGUAACCAUCUAUGCGGUCGCAUAGAAGGUUGCAGGGAAUUCUAGAGGAAAAUUUAUUGUUCUAUGCGACCGCAUAGAAACCUUCUAUGCGGUCGCAUAGUUAUACAUCGGGGGCCUCAGUUGCAGUUUUUUGUUUUCGUUGAAACUCUUUUCCUACUUGAUUUUUACGCGAUAUAAAAACCCAAAAUCAUAAAAUUGAGGGCAUGAACGACCAGGGAGAAAAAAUACACUCAAUUUGAAGGCAAGAAACACAAUCUUGGGCUUGAUUUCACAAGGAUUCAAGAAGGAAUUGAAGAUUACACACAAAAUUNN